CAAAACCAUAAGCCCUUAAUUAAAUUAAAGGUGUACCUGCCCAAUGGUUUGAAAUUUAAAAAUUAUAAUUAAUUUUAAGAUAACUUAAAGGACGCGGUAUCUUGACCGUGAUAAUGUAGCAUAAUCACUCGCCACUUAAUUAGUGGAUGGUAUGAAUGGUCAAACGAAUAUAACACUGUCUCAAGUAAAGACUUUAUAAAAUUGGAAUAAUAGUAAAGAUACUAUUUAAGAUUAUAAGACGAAAAGACCCUAUAGAGCUUAACUAUAUUCUUUUAUAAAAAUAAUUAAGUUAACUUAAUUUAAAUAAAAGAUUGGUAGUUUAGUUGGGGCGACUGUUUUCUAAAUAAAACGAAAACAAACAAAAUUAAUAAAAUGAUUUAUUGUAUAAUAAAUAAAUUUAACAAUUACUAUAGUAGGUAAUAAUGACCCGUUUUUCUCUACAAAAAGAAAAACGAUCAAUAAAUAAAAGCUACCUUAGGGAUAACAGGAUAAUUUUAUUUUAGAGAUCAGAUCGAGAUAAGUUGUCACCUCGAUGUG
rnacentral:rRNA from 1 species